CCCCAACUUCAUUCACAGAUUCUUACCUCUUGUGGACAGUGAAUUAAAUAUCCUGGUAUGAGCUAGUCAUCUGAUCUGUCAAAAUCUAGCAGAUUUCUAAUUAACCGACAAUAAAUUAACCCUUUAUGUGGCAAUGCGCCCAGAUGCACCCUAUUUUAUUAUUUUUCUCUGUCUAAUGCCAGACGAUUUUACUCGUCAGGGAGAGAGCGCUGCCACUCCAUGGUUUAAACUAUGCAAGUCAUUUCAGUAUUUACCUCAUCUUGUUUUGCUACUUGAAAAAUCUUGUAGAUUUUAGCAGAUCACAUGACCAGCUCAUACCAGGAGUUUUCCUCCACAAGAAGUAAGAACCUGGGAAGGAGAUUGAUGUUCCCUUUCUUUCAAAUAUACGUAAAUGUAGGUGAGAGGGAAGAGGACCUUACACAAGUCCCUGCCUAGCCACAUAUCAAUAAAAAGAUCCCUUACCACCCUCUAAAUAUAAAUUUUACUUUUGGUGGAGAGCAACUAGAUUAGGGUUUGUGCCAGGUUCUCUUUGUAAAAUAGACCCUGUUACUCUGGCUAUUAUAAAAAUACAGAAAAUAUAUGUUCAUGUAGGCUUCGCAAAUCUGGAUAGUGCCCGAUCAACAAUUUCUUGCGUAGCUGGGACAGGCUGCAUAGCAAUUGAAUGACAUAUGUUUUUCGGAUGCUCUGCUGACAGUUC